rnacentral:rRNA from 1 species
GACGAACGCUGGCGGCGUGCUUAACACAUGCAAGUCGAACGGAAAGGCCCUGCUUUUGUGGGGUGCUCGAGUGGCGAACGGGUGAGUAACACGUGAGUAACCUGCCCUUGACUUUGGGAUAACUUCAGGAAACUGGGGCUAAUACCGGAUAGGAGCUCCUGCUGCAUGGUGGGGGUUGGAAAGUUUCGGCGGUUGGGGAUGGACUCGCGGCUUAUCAGCUUGUUGGUGGGGUAGUGGCUUACCAAGGCUUUGACGGGUAGCCGGCCUGAGAGGGUGACCGGCCACAUUGGGACUGAGAUACGGCCCAGACUCCUACGGGAGGCAGCAGUGGGGAAUAUUGCACAAUGAGCGGAAGCCUGAUGCAGCAACGCCGCGUGCGGGAUGACGGCCUUCGGGUUGUAAACCGCUUUCGCCUGUGACGAAGCGUGAGUGGCGGUAAUGGGUAAAGAAGCACCGGCUAACUACGUG